rnacentral:rRNA from 1 species
AGGUAAUGCUUGGGAAUCUGGCUUAUGGAGGGGGAUAACUACGGGAAACUGUAGCUAAUACCGCGUAGAAUCGGAAGAUGAAAGUGCGGGACCGCAAGGCCGCAUGCCAUGAGAUGAGCCCAAGUGGGAUUAGGUAGUUGGUGGGGUAAAGGCCUACCAAGCCUGCGAUCUCUAGCUGGUCUGAGAGGAUGGCCAGCCACACUGGAACUGAGACACGGUCCAG